CACAUGCAAGUCGAACGGUAGCAGAUCUAGCUUGCUAGAUGCUGACGAGUGGCGGACGGGUGAGUAACGCGUGGGAAUUUACCUUUUAGUGGGGGAUAACUUUAGGAAACUGAAGCUAAUACCGCAUAAGACCUGAGGGUUAAAGAGGGCCUCUAUAUAUAAGCUCUUGCUAGGAGAUGAGCCCGCGUUGGAUUAGCUAGUUGGUAGGGUAAAGGCUUACCAAGGCGACGAUCCAUAGCUGGUUUGAGAGAAUGGCCAGCCACACUGGGACUGAGACACGGCCCAGACUCCUACGGGAGGCAGCAGUGGGGAAUAUUGGACAAUGGGGGAAACCCUGAUCCAGCAAUGCCACGUGUGUGAAGAAGGCCUUAGGGUUGUAAAGCACUUUCAGCGGGGAGGAAGGUAAGCUAAUUAAUACUU
rnacentral:rRNA from 1 species